CGGGACGUGGCGCAGUCCGGUAGCGCACUGCAAUGGGGUUGCAGGGGUCGCCGGUUCGAAUCCGGGCGUCCCGA
rnacentral:tRNA from 1 species